rnacentral:lncRNA from 1 species
CUUAUACCUAAACAAGUAAUAAAUAAAUGCAUUUGGCUUCCUUACCUUGAGUAUUGAAUCAACAUUUGAAAACAAAGUAAUCAACCUUUGGCAAUUUGAAACAUCAAAGGACUUUGUAUUCUCCAGUGAAUGAAGGAUAAAAAUUAGACAUGGAGACACUUGGUUUGGCAGAGCAGGUGACAAGCCUGAAGACCGUGAGUUAAGAUCAUAGAGCCACAGACCAGAA